AAGUCGUAACAAGGUUUCCGUAGGUGAACCUGCGGAAGGAUCAUUAACAAAUCAUUGAGCGAAAGCUCACUAACCUUUGUGAAUAGGCUUGCUGCGAAAGCACAAGUUAGAUGGGUUUGAGGGAGAGGCAGAGAAAAAGUGUGUAUGGAGGCAAGUGUGUCUGGUGGUUAUAGGGUUACACCUAGCAGCCAGGCACACACGCAGCCAACAAACUGUUUCCGAGCCAACAUUAUUAUUGUCUAAUUAAUAUUGGAUUUCGAAAGAUUUCUAACAACUAAUACAACUUUUAACAAUGGAUCUCUUGGCUCUU
rnacentral:misc_RNA from 1 species